rnacentral:pre_miRNA from 1 species
UAUAUACUUCCUUCGUCCAAAAAUACUUAUCUUAAAAAUGAUUGUAUUUAGACUUAUUUUAGUUAUAGAUGCAUUCGUUUUAUUUAUUUCUAGGACAAGCAUUUUUGAACGGAGGGAGUACAUA